ACCUCUCCCCGCCCAAUUCCCCGCGUCUGGCGGGGCCCGGUGGCCGCUCCGGGCCGGGAGGGUGGGGGGGGGGCAGCGGCUCCGCACCCGUCGGUACCGCGGGGCGCAUCCGGCGGGCAGGGCGGGGAAGGGGCCUGUCCCUUUAAGAAGAGGCCCGGCUGCUGCGGCCGCCGGUCGGCGCGGGGGAUGAAGCCGCGGCCUGCCCGCCUGGAGCUUCCAUCGUCGUCCGCAGUAGCCCCGGCUCCGCGUGUCCUUGCGCGGUCGCCGCGGUGGCUCACCUGAGUAGCGGGCCCGGCGGCGGGGCGGCGGCGGCGGUGGCAGGGGGCUGGGGGUGUCUCCCGGGCUCGCUCCCCCGCUUGCUCCACCCGGCCUCUCGCCCCGCGUUGCCGGGGCUGGCGUUGCCUGUCUCCUGCCGCGGAGCGCUCCCGGCUCCUGCCUCGCCAAGAUGGCGCCCGCGCUGGUGCUGAGGAGGAGGCGGCGGCUGCGGGCGCUGGGACGGCGGCGGCGGCCACUUUCGCUCACUGAGAGGAGAGGAGCAGGGACACGGGGAGCCAUGGCGGGGGGGAGGAGAGGCGCCAUGCCCAGACCUGAUCAAUCGAACCCCGUAUGUCUCCCCGGCGCCCUGGCCCCGCACCCUGGCCCCGCCGCCCCGCCCCCGUCGCCGCGGCCGCCGUACGGACCCGGGCCCGCACCGCGGGGCUCGGGCCCGCACGGACCCCGCGGGGGGCGCGCGCUCAUCGAUGCGCUCCCGCGGCCGAUUGGUAGGGUCUGGAGGUGACGGAAAUUGCCGAAGGGACUCGGCCGAGGCGGCGGGUGAGCCAGCGAGUCUCGCGCGAGGCGGGGCGGGGUCUCGCGAUGCUGGCGCGAGGAGGCGGGUGCGUCCCGGAAGUGACGCGCUGUCGCCCUUGAGGCGCCGCGGGGCGGGUGCGGCGCUGCUCGGACCCCCGGGCCAGUCCGGGGUCGGGCAGGGAGGGGGGUCAUGCGUGUCCCCCGAGGCUGCCCCUUCCAACCACGCAGCAGGCGGCCUGCGCCGGCCCGGCCCCCGCGGCCGACGGGAGCGGUGCGGGGCUGACGGCGCUGGAACCGGGGCGCCGUCACGGUUAUAACACGUGGGGCUACGUGCGUUCCACCGCCUUCGCUUUGUCAUGCACGAAGAGUUGCAUCAGAGGAGCCCAGGACGAAAUAGGCCCGAAGGUUAAUUGCGAAGAGGCUUUGCAGUGAAAACACGCUGUGGCCAUCGGCUGUUCGGCACCGCUGCUUCCCCAAACCACUAAAUAGUAUAUUUACCGCAAAUCCUUAAAAGCGUGAUUAAUCCAGACCACUUAGUGCAUGGAGAUAAAAAUUGUGUUCAUGACUAAGCUGUGUCACUCCAUCUCUCUGUAGGCAUCACCGCGUCUUGGUUUUGGCUGGGAGGGAGUUAAUUUCUCAGUAGCUGAUGCAGUGCUGAGUUUUGGAUUCAGAAUUAAAAUAAUGUUGUUACCACAGUGAUGUUUUGGGGUUUGCUAAGUUGCAUUUAUGCCAAGUCAAGGACAGUUUUGUUGGUUUGGGAUUUUUGGCACAGUGAGGAAGUGCACAAAAGAGAAACUGUGAGGAAGCAUGGCCAGGACAACUGACCCCAACUGGCCAAAGGGAUAUUCCUUACCAUAAAAUGUCAUGCCCAGUGUAUAAACUGAGGAGCGUUACCUGGAAGGGGGGCCAAUCUGCGUUUGAGAAGGGCAGUCUGGCAUCUGUCAGUAAGUGGACUGGGUGGACCCAGAUGAUUUUGGUUGUGGAAAUAAAACAUAAUUGCUCUUUUGGCACAGAAAAGCCGGAAUGCUCCACAUGGUACCUCACUGACCUGUGAUAUCCCAUCACUGCUUGAAAGAAUCUUGCUUCAAAUAAAUAAAAAAAAGAG